rnacentral:rRNA from 1 species
UACGUAGGGUGCAAGCGUUAAUCGGAAUUACUGGGCGUAAAGCGUGCGCAGGCGGCUUUGCAAGACAGAUGUGAAAUCCCCGGGCUUAACCUGGGAACUGCAUUUGUGACUGCAUGGCUUGAGUGCGGCAGAGGGGGAUGGAAUUCCGCGUGUAGCAGUGAAAUGCGUAGAUAUGCGGAGGAGCACCGAUGGCGAAGGCAAUCCCCUGGGCCUGCACUGACGCUCAUGCACGAAAGCGUGGGGAGCAAACAGG